CGGUGAGCUAUGAGGACUCACUGGGAUGUUGCAAGGGUGACCAAUUGUCUUAACACAGGUUGUCGAUGUUGGAGUGGGCCACGGCGACGUUCAUCGACAGCGCCGCUAUGUUCCAGAGGCGUUAAUGCGGUAGAGCCGAAACAGUUGAGUCGAUGAGCAUUAGCACUAUAAAAGGAAACCGGAACACAAUACGAGAGGAGCGGAGCAUAACCGUGCUGGUCUGGCCACGGCGAGGUGAACUCCAGCGGCGCUAACACCGACCGCGAGGAAGAAACACACUAAAUCGAGUCUCGGGUGGAAACACAAAGCACAAGUGAGUUCAAACGGUGCGUAAGGAAGUAGACUAACUGCAAUAAAGGAGAAUUGGACAGAGAAUUAAAGUGGGAGGUGAAUUAUGCCGAUAACGGCGUGGCUCCGUGGCAAUCAACAUCCCUUCCUCGGUCCGCUCGGUGGUCCUUGGAGCCGUCUUGUGGAGGAUCUGGGAAGCGUCUUGUGCAGGAUCUGGGAAGACAGGACUAGGGGUGACAAUGAAUCUAAAAUUUUAUAUUAUAAAAUUUAAAAAUCGAAUUAGGUUCGAGAUAUAUUUCUAAUUUUUAUUUAGUUUUGAACUAAAAAUAAUUUAGAGUCUUAAUAAAG
rnacentral:lncRNA from 7 species